AUGCCGCCGGUGCUCCCGUUCGACACCAACGGCGCCGACGAGAUGCUCCUGCUCGAUAUGAUCUCCCAGUACCACCACGUCCAGCAUGCCGCGGCCGCACCCACGAUUGCGCCGGUGAAGCGGGAGGCCAGCCAAGAGGAAGACAAGGCGGCCGUGGACGUCGGGCGCGCGUUCCGCGGGGUGCGCAAGCGGCCGUGGGGCAAGUACGCAGCCGAGAUCCGUGACUCGACGCGGAACGGCGUGCGGGUGUGGCUGGGCACCUUCGACAGCCCGGAAGCUGCGGCGCUGGCGUACGACGAAGCUGCCUUCGCCAUCCGCGGCGGCGCCGCCGUGCUGAACUUCUCCGCCGACCAUGUCCGGCGUUCUCUUGAGGGCGUAGCAGACGACGUGUGCGGUCGUGCCCAUAGCGUGUCGCCCGUGCUGGCGCUCAAGCGGCGGCACUCCAUGCGUAGCCGGAAGGCCGUGACGACAGGCAGGAAGUCGAAGGCCGCCACCCGGGGGGCGCAGCCAGAGGGCAUGGUGAUGGAGCUUGAGGACCUUGGUACGGAGUACCUGGAGCAGCUGCUCGGCGCCUCCGAGGACACCACCUCCAUGAAUUCAUGCUGCUGGACCCACCAUUCCAUGACUUGA
rnacentral:rRNA from 1 species